rnacentral:rRNA from 1 species
UACGUAGGGGGCAAGCGUUGUCCGGAAUCAUUGGGCGUAAAGAGCGUGUAGGCGGCCCGGUAAGUCCGCUGUGAAAGUCCAGGGCUCAACCCUGGGAUGCCGGUGGAUACUGUCGGGCUCGAGUCCGGAAGAGGAGUGUGGAAUUCCUGGUGUAGCGGUGAAAUGCGCAGAUAUCAGGAGGAACACCAAUGGCGAAGGCAGCACUCUGGGGCGUGACUGACGCUGAGACACGAAAGCGUGGGUAGCAAACAGG